rnacentral:lncRNA from 1 species
UCGGGAUGGCUAAACCUCUGGGUGACCAGUGGGGCCCCGGACAUCGCUCAGGUGGGACCAACACUCAUGGGGAGCACUGGCCCGGGUUGUUGAUUAAAUUCCUCGGGGUAGCCAUUCCCUAUGCAGAUUAUUAUGUGAUUAGCAGUUUAAAACCAAAGUUGGGUCCUGCCGGACAAGCCUUAACACUACGCGAUUUAUCAAGGGGGUCCCCAUAACAACCCCGAACGUGUUAGGAGCGAUCAUUAUGGAAUCAAACACCGGUAAC